CUGCAAAUGAUGUAAACUUUGUUUUUGCCUGAAUGAUUCUGAUGCAUUCAAAGGAACCACUGAUGCUU